rnacentral:rRNA from 1 species
ACUCCUACGGGAGGCAGCAGUGGGGAAUAUUGCACAAUGGGCGCAAGCCUGAUGCGAGCCAUGCCGCGUGUAUGAAGAAGGCCUUCGGGUUGUAAAGUACUUUUCAGCAGUGAGGAAGGUGGGUACUGUUAAUAGCAUACUCAUUUGACGUUAGCUGCAGAAGAAGCACCCGGCUAACUCCGUGCCAGCAGCCGCGGUAAUACGGAGGGUGCGAGCGUUAAUCGGAAUUACUGGGCGUAAAGCGCAUGCAGGUGGUUUGUUAAGUCAGAUGUGAAAGCCCGGGGCUCAACCUCGGAAUUGCAUUUGAAACUGGCAAACUAGAGUACUGUAGAGGGGGGUAGAAUUUCAGGUGUAGCGGUGAAAUGCGUAGAGAUCUGAAGGAUACCGGUGGCGAAGGCGGCCCCCUGGACAGAUACUGACACUCAGAUGCGAAAGCGUGGGGAGCAAACAGGAUUAGAUACCCUGGUAGGCGUCUGC